CCUGAUUCCGCCAAAGCGCUGAGGAUGAGGACACCGGCGAGGAUGUGGAUGCAGGUCAUUGUCAUGAAGCCUUCGGAGGCGCCGUCUGUGCGCGGUGUGGAAGCGGACCUAUUUAAAGAGCAGCGGAAUGCCGGCGUACUGCACAAGGGGACUUAAGAUCAUUUAUAAAGAAUCAACCUUCCCGGUAGCGAAGCUUUAACUUUAAUGAAGUUCAAGUUUGAGUGGGAAAGGAUUUCUGAUCUGUCAAAGCCUAAGAGGAGAUCAAAUCUACAGAAGAAGACGUAGACCAUGUGGAGGGCAGUCUUUUCCAUCGUGCAUGGUCCACCUGCGGCAGACCUUCAAACAGAAAAAGG